AAAGAAUAAAAAUUAAUUAAAAGAAGAAAGAACUGCCAGGCAUAACAAAAAUGUCAGUCGUAUAGCUACAACUGCAACUGUUCCACUAAUAUGGAAUCAAGUUGCAUAAGAAGUGUUACGAAAAUUGCUGUGUCCUAACAGACAAAAACCUUCUGCAUUGCUCAAUACAAAUCAAGUCAGGCGACAUUACAGCUAGACAAUGUCUUCGGCAAUCCAAUAUUUCCAAUACGAAAUCAGUAAUUAACCUACCUAGCACGGCUGCCUCAACAGCAUAAACAAUGUGAUCGUUAAUACAUUCGUCAAUGGUGAACCAUUCGGGAUGCUUGGCCAGAGUGGUCAUCCAAUCUGAAGGCAACAGUUGUCGGUGCACCGAC